UACCUGCAGCUCGAGUGGUAACCGCUAUUAUUGGGCCUAAAGCGUCCGUAGCCGGUUUGGUAAAUAUCUGGGUAAAUCGUGAGGCUUAACUUCACGAAUUUCGGAUAGACUGCCAGACUUGGGAUCGGGGGAGGUCAGAGGUACUCCAGGGGUAGCGGUGAAAUGUUGUAAUCCUUGGAGGACCACCGGUAGCGAAGGCGUCUGACUAGAACGAGUCCGACGGUGAGGGACGAAGCCCUGGGGCGCAAACCGGAUUAGAUACCCGGGUAGUCCAGGGUGUAAACGAUGUGGGCUUUGUAUUGGAGGUCCCACGUGGGCGUCCAGUGCAGAAGAGAAGUUGUUAAGCCCACCGCCUGGGAAGUACGGUCGCAAGGCUGAAACUUAAAGGAAUUGGCGGGGAGCACAGCAACAGGAGGAGCGUGCGGUUU
rnacentral:rRNA from 1 species